UACGUAGGGUGCGAGCGUUAAUCGGAAUUACUGGGCGUAAAGCGUGCGCAGGCGGUUUCGUAAGACAGGCGUGAAAUCCCCGGGCUUAACCUGGGAACUGCGCUUGUGACUGCGAGGCUAGAGUGUGUCAGAGGGAGGUGGAAUUCCACGUGUAGCAGUGAAAUGCGUAGAGAUGUGGAGGAACACCGAUGGCGAAGGCAGCCUCCUGGGAUAACAAUGACGUUCAUGCACGAAAGCGUGGGGAGCAAACAGG
rnacentral:rRNA from 1 species